rnacentral:rRNA from 1 species
UACGGAGGGUGCGAGCGUUGUCCGGAAUCACUGGGCGUAAAGGGCGCGUAGGCGGCAUGCCAAGCGUGUGGUGAAAGCCCGGGGCUCAACCCCGGGUCGGCCGUGCGGACUGGCGUGCUCGAGCACUGUAGGGGCGGGUGGAAUUCCUGGUGUAGCGGUGAAAUGCGCAGAUAUCAGGAGGAACACCAAUGGCGAAGGCAGCUCGCUGGGACGUGACUGACGCUGAGACGCGAAAGCGUGGGGAGCAAACAGG